ACAAACUUGGUCAUUUAGAGGAAGUAAAAGUCGUAACAAGGUCUCCGUUGGUGAACCAGCGGAGGGAUCAUUACCGAGUUUUCAACUCCCCAAACCCCCUGUGAACUUAUACCUGUAACCGUUGCCUCGGCGGGUUCGACGCCCCGGAAGGCUUUCCUCCCUUUAGGGGGGGGGGGCCGCCGGAACCAGGCGCCCGCCGGGGGACCCUAACCCCUGUAUCUCUUCCUUUUUGGCAUGUCUGAGUGGAAUCACAAACAAACGAAUCAAAACUUUCAACAACGGAUCUCUUGGUUCUGGCAUCGAUGAAGAACGCAGC
rnacentral:misc_RNA from 1 species